CAACUCUCAACAACGGAUAUCUUGGCUCUCGCAACGAUGAAGAACGCAGCGAAAUGCGAUACGUAGUGUGAAUUGCAGAAUUCCGUGAACCAUCGAAUCUUUGAACGCAUAUUGCGCUUGAGGCUUCGGCCAAGAGCAUGUCUGCCUCAGCGUCGUUUUGACACCUCACUCCCAUACCUUUUGGUAUCAUGCAUCGGGCCAAGCGGCGCGAUGCUGGGCGUGGAACUGGCUCUCCCAGAGUUUCUCUGGGUUGGCUGAAGUACAGAGGCUAGAAUACGGACCCAUAUGGGCGUCAACUGGAUAGGUAGCCCCCACGCAAGUGGAUCUACACGAAGUUGUCUGCCUGGGAAACGUGUUGGCGGCCAAACAGGAAACUACUUCACUUCGACCUGAGCUCAGGCAAGAUUACCCGCUGAACUUAAGCAUAUCAAUAAGCGGUGGAA
rnacentral:rRNA from 1 species